rnacentral:rRNA from 1 species
GACGAACGCUGGCGGCGUGCUUAACACAUGCAAGUCGAGCGAUGAGAUCACUUCGGUGAAGGAUUAGCGGCGAACGGGUGAGGAACACGUGAAGAAUCUGCCUUCAACUCUGGGAUAACUCCGGGAAACCGGGGCUAAUACCGGAUAUGAGCCUUGAUCGCAUGAUCGGGGCUGGAAAGUUUUUCGGUUGAAGAUGACUUCGCGGCCUAUCAGCUUGUUGGUGAGGUAAUGGCUCACCAAGGCGACGACGGGUAGCCGGCCUGAGAGGGUGAACGGCCACAAGGGGACUGAGACACGGCCCAGACUCCUACGGGAGGCAGCAGUGGGGAAUAUUGCGCAAUGGACGAAAGUCUGACGCAGCGACGCCUCGUGAGGGACGAAGGUCUUCGGAUUGUAAACCUCUUUCAGCAGGGACGAAGCGAAAGUGACGGUACCUGCAGAAGAAGCACCGGCUAACUAUGUG